rnacentral:snRNA from 1 species
ACUAUUUCUGGACCUUUUUGCUAAGAUCAAGUGUAGUAUCUUUCCUUAUCAGUUUAAUAUCUGAUAUAUCCUCCAUGUCAGGACUACAGAUUUACCCUUAGAUAUAUAAUUGUGUCAAAAGUGACCCAGU